rnacentral:rRNA from 1 species
UUGAUCCUGGCUCAGAAUCAACGCUGGCGGCGUGCCUAACACAUGCAAGUCGAACGAGAAAGUGGAGCAAUCCAUGAGUAAAGUGGCGACCGGGUGAGUUACACGUGACUAACCUACCCUCGAGUGGGGAAUAACCACGGGAAACCGUGUCUAAUACCGCAUAACAUCAUCGGAACGCAGGUUCUGAUGCUCAAAGGAGUAAUUCGCUUGAGGAGGGAGUCGCGGCUGAUUAGCUAGUUGGCGGGGUAAUGGCCCACCAAGGCUUAGAUCGGUAGCCGGCCUGAGAGGGCGCACGGCCAUACUGGAACUGAAACACGGUCCAGACUCCUACGGGAGGCAGCAGUGGGGAUUUUUGCGCAAUGGGGGAAACCCUGACGCAGCAACGCCGCGUGGAGGAUGUAGUCCCUUGGGAUGUAAACUCCUUUCGACCGGGAAGAUAAUGACGGUACUGGUAGAAGAAGCACCGGCUAACUCUGUGCCAGCAGCCGCGGUAAUAAGGU